CUCUUAUCCAGAGUUGGUGGAGGGACAGGCCCUUUGAAACCCAGCAACCGUCAUGAGAAUGGCAUGGUGCUAACCUGAAGCAGGAAGGAACGAAUUCCUUCUUGGACGAUAAGAG
rnacentral:ncRNA from 2 species